rnacentral:rRNA from 1 species
CUCCGGUGAUCCCGCCGGACCCGACUGCUAUCAGAGUGGGACUAAGCCAUGCGAGUCAACAUAGCAAUAUGUGGCAUACGGCUCAGUAACACGUAGUCAACAUGCCCAGGGGACGUGGAUAACCUCGGGAAACUGAGGAUAAACCGCGAUAAGUCACUACUUCUGGAAUGGGUAAUGACUCAAAUCUACAUGGCCCCUGGAUUGGACUGCGGCCGAUCAGGCUGUUGGUGAGGUAAUGGCCCACCAAACCUGUAACCGGUACGGGCUCUGAGAGGAGGAGCCCGGAGAUGGGCACUGAGACAAGGGCCCAGGCCCUAUGGGGCGCAGCAGGCGCGAAACCUCUGCAAUAGGCGAAAGCCUGACAGGGUUACUCUGAGUGAUUUCCGUUAAGGAGAUCUUUUGGCACCUCUAAAAAUGGUGCAGAAUAAGGGGUGGGCAAGUCUGGUGUCAGCCGCCGCGGUAAUACCAGCUCCUCGAGUGGUCGGGGCGAUUAUUGGGCCUAAAGCAUCCGUAGCCUGUUCUGUAGGUCCUCUGUUAAAUCCAACGGCUUAACCGUUGGCCCGCAGAGGAUACCGCAGGACUAGGAGGCGGGAGAGGUGGACGGUACUCCACGUGUAGGGGUAAAAUCCUUUGAUCCGUGGAAGACCACCAGUGGCGAAGGCGGUCCACCAGAACGCGCUCGACGGUGAGGGAUGAAAGCUGGGGGAGCGAACCGGAUUAGAUACCCGGGUAGUCCCAGCCGUAAACGAUGCGAGCUAGAUGAUCCGGUCGCAAAUCGCGAUCGGAGUGUCGCAGGGAAGCCGUUAAGCUCGCCGCCUGGGGAGUACGGUCGCAAGACUGAAACUUAAAGGAAUUGGCCGGGGAGCA